rnacentral:rRNA from 1 species
GAUGAACGCUAGCGGCAGGCCUAACACAUGCAAGUCGAGGGGCAGCACGUCUUCGGAUGGUGGCGACCGGCGCACGGGUGCGUAACGCGUAUGCAACCUACCUCUUACAGUGGGAUAGCCCAGAGAAAUUUGGAUUAAUACCGCAUAGUAUACAGAUUCAGCAUUGGGACUGUAUUAAACAUUUANGGGUAAGAGAUGGGCAUGCGUUCUAUUAGUUAGUUGGAGUGGUAACGGCACCCCAAGACAGCGAUAGAUAGGGGCCCUGAGAGGGGGAUCCCCCGANACUGGUACUGAGACACGGACCAGACUCCUACGGGAGGCAGCAGUGAGGAAUAUUGGACAAUGGCGAGAGCCUGAUCCAGCCAUGCCGCGUGCAGGAAGACGGCCCUAUGGGUUGUAAACUGC